CCUGCAAUAUUGGAGUUGGAGGCCUAGACAGGGCCUGGUAAGUAAGUGGUGACGGACCAUCUUGCUUCCUCGUGACCUCACACAACAAAGCUGACGGUUUUUCCUGUGCGGGGAGGGGGAGGAACACAAGAGUCACAAGUGAAACACCAAAGACAAACCAACUCGGAGCAGGGAAGUGGAGGUUCAACCACAGAGGACCACAGGCCUCUCAGAACUGAACAACAACGAUGACGACAACAAUAACAACAAGGACGACAACAACAACAGCAGCAGCAGGAGGACACGGUAUUAAUGGAACUAUGACAUCAUCAAAGUAGUCACAAAAAAAAUCCCUCAAAGCCUUGCUGAUCACACACUCAUUUCCUGUAGAGCGAGAGAGAGCGAGAGAGAGAGAGCGCGAGAACAAGAAAGAGAGAAUGUGCG